CAGCCGCCGCGGGAAUACGAGGGGGGCAAGCGUUGUUCGGAAUUAUUGGGCGUAAAGGGUGCGUAGGCGGUUUGGCAAGUUUGGUGUGAAAUCUUCGGGCUCAACUCGAAGUCUGCAUCGAAAACUGCCGGGCUUGAGUAUGGGAGAGGUGAGUGGAAUUUCCGGUGUAGCGGUGAAAUGCGUAGAUAUCGGAAGGAACACCUGUGGCGAAAGCGGCUCACUGGACCAUAACUGACGCUGAGGCACGAAAGCUAGGGGAGCAAACAGGAUUAGAUACCCCAGUAGUCCCUGUCUCUUAUAC
rnacentral:rRNA from 1 species